UACGUAGGGGGCAAGCGUUAUCCGGAAUUACUGGGUGUAAAGGGAGCGUAGACGGUAAUGUAAGUCUGGAGUGAAAGCCCGCGGCCCAACCGCGGGACUGCAUUGGGAACUACCGGGCUGGAGUGCCGGAGAGGUAGGCGGAAUUCCUAGUGUAGCGGUGAAAUGCGUAGAUAUUAGGAGGAACACCAGUGGCGAAGGCGGCCUACUGGACGGUGACUGACGCUGAGGCUCGAAAGCGUGGGGAGCAAACAGG
rnacentral:rRNA from 1 species